UACGGAGGGGGCAAGCGUUAUUCGGAAUUACUGGGCGUAAAGGGCGCGUAGGCGGCCUGGUCAGUCGGAUGUGAAAGCCCGGGGCUCAACCUCAGAACAGCAUUUGAAACUGUAUCCCUAGAGGGUAGGAGGAGAAAACGGAAUUCCACAAGUAGCGGUGAAAUGCGUAGAUAUGUGGAAGAACACCGGUGGCGAAGGCGGUUUUCUAUCUUAUUCCUGACGCUGAGGCGCGAAAGCAAGGGGAUCAAACAGG
rnacentral:rRNA from 1 species